rnacentral:rRNA from 1 species
AUUGAACGCUGGCGGCAGGCCUAACACAUGCAAGUCGAGCGGGGUUUUCGGACCUAGCGGCGGACGGGUGAGUAAUGCGUAGGAAGCUACCCGAUAGAGGGGGAUACCAGUUGGAAACGACUGUUAAUACCGCAUAAUGUCUACGGACCAAAGUGUGGGACCUUCGGGCCACAUGCUAUCGGAUGCGCCUACGUGGGAUUAGCUAGUUGGUGGGGUAAUGGCUCACCAAGGCGACGAUCCCUAGCUGGUUUGAGAGGAUGAUCAGCCACACUGGAACUUAGACACGGUCCAGACUCCUACGGGAGGCAGCAGUGGGGAAUAUUGGACGAUGGGCGCAAGCCUGAUCCAGCCAUGCCGCGUGUGUGAAGAAGGCCUUCGGGUUGUAAAGCACUUUCAGUAGGGAGGAAGGGUGUUGUGUUAAUAGCACAGCAUUUUGACGUUACCUACAGAAGAAGCACCGGCUAACUCUGUGCCAGCCGCCGCCGUAAGAC